rnacentral:rRNA from 1 species
CCUACGGGAGGCAGCAGUGGGGAAUAUUGCACAAUGGGGGAAACCCUGAUGCAGCGACGCCGCGUGAGUGAAGAAGUACUUCGUUACGUAAAGCUCUAUCAGCAGGGAAGAAAAUGACGGUACCUGAGUAAGAAGCCCCGGCUAACUACGUGCCAGCAGCCGCGGUAAUACGUAGGGGGCAAGCGUUAUCCGGAUUUACUGGGUGUAAAGGGAGCGUAGACGGUGCGGCAAGUCUGGAGUGAAAUGCCGCAGCUUAACUGCGGAACUGCUUUGGAAACUGGCGAACUGGAGUGCGGGAGGGGUAAGCGGAAUUCCUAGUGUAGCGGUGAAAUGCGUAGAUAUUAGGAGGAACACCGGUGGCGAAGGCGGCUUACUGGACCGUAACUGACGUUGAGGCUCGAAGGCGUGGGGAGCAAACAGGAUUAGAUACCCCAGUAGUC